rnacentral:lncRNA from 1 species
CUCCCCUAUUGAUGAAGAGAAUAAUGACUUGACAUUGCAUGUCUAUGUGGGGAAUAGAUCUAGUUCAAGAGCUUUAGAGAGAAGACAUUCUUCCUUUCUUCUUUGAGAGAGGACAUAUGCAUUCCAGACUCCUUUCUGGACUGACUCUGGGGAAGAAGAGAACAAAAAAUUUUGGAACAGAAGUAUCUUCCAAGAAACUGAAAAAUGACUUGGCUUUCCCAAUGGUUCAUCCUUUUCCACUUGAUGAGGAAACUGAACCUCAAAGAAGGGAAAUGAUUCAUCCCUGCCUGGCCACACAUCUUGGAAGGAGCAGACAGAGAAAGACUGAAACCCAAGACAUCUGA